rnacentral:rRNA from 1 species
CAGUCGCGCGGUAAUACGUAGGGUGCAAGCGUUAAUCGGAAUUACUGGGCGUAAAGCGUGCGCAGGCGGUUUGUUAAGACAGAUGUGAAAUCCCCGGGCUCAACCUGGGAACUGCAUUUGUGACUGGCAAGCUAGAGUGUGGCAGAGGGGGGUGGAAUUCCGCGUGUAGCAGUGAAAUGCGUAGAUAUGCGGAGGAACACCGAUGGCGAAGGCAGCCCCCUGGGCCAACACUGACGCUCAUGCACGAAAGCGUGGGGAGCAAACAGGAUUAGAUACCCCAGUAGUCCCUGUCUCUUAUACA